rnacentral:misc_RNA from 1 species
GAUGAAGAACGCAGCGAAAUGCGAUAAGUAAUGUGAAUUGCAGAAUUCAGUGAAUCAUCGAAUCUUUGAACGCACAUUGCGCCCCUUGGUAUACCGAGGGGCAUGCCUGUUCGAGCGUCAUUAUAACCCCUCAAGCUCAGCUUGGUGUUGGGGCCUGCUGCACUGGCAGCCCUUAAAAUCAGUGGCGGCGCCAUCUGGCUCUAAGCGUAGUAAUUCUUCUCGCUAUGGAGUCCUGGUGGAUGCUUGCCAUCAACCCCCAAUUUUUCUAUGGUUGACCUCGGAUCAGGUAGGGAUACCCGCUGAACUUAAGCAUAUCAAUAAGCGGAGGA